rnacentral:rRNA from 1 species
GACGAACGCUGGCGGCGUGCUUAACACAUGCAAGUCGAACGGACCCUUUGGGGUUAGUGGCGAACGGGUGAGUAACACGUGGGUGAUCUGCCCUGCACUUUGGGAUAAGCCUGGGAAACUGGGUCUAAUACCGGAUAGGACUACGCACUGCAUGGUGUGUGGUGGAAAGCUUUUGCGGUGUGGGAUGGGCCCGCGGCCUAUCAGCUUGUUGGUGGGGUGAUGGCCUACCAAGGCGACGACGGGUAGCCGGCCUGAGAGGGUGACCGGCCACACUGGGACUGAGAUACGGCCCAGACUCCUACGGGAGGCAGCAGUGGGGAAUAUUGCACAAUGGGCGCAAGCCUGAUGCAGCGACGCCGCGUGAGGGAUGACGGCCUUCGGGUUGUAAACCUCUUUCGCCAGGGACGAAGCGCAAGUGACGGUACCUGGAGAAGAAGGACCGGCCAACUACGUGCCAGCAGCCGCGGUAAUACGUAGGGUCCGAGCGUUGUCCGGAAUUACUGGGCGUAAAGAGCUCGUAGGUGGUUUGUCGCGUUGUUCGUGAAAACUCACAGCUUAACUGUGGGCGUGCGGGCGAUACGGGCAGACUGGAGUACUGCAGGGGAGGCUGGAAUUCCUGGUGUAGCGGUGGAAUGCGCAGAUAUCAGGAGGAACACCGGUGGCGAAGGCGGGUCUCUGGGCAGUAACUGACGCUGAGGAGCGAAAGCGUGGGGAGCGAACAGGAUUAGAUACCCUGGUAGUCCACGCCGUAAACGGUGGGUACUAGGUGUGGGUCUCCUUCCUUGGGAUCCGUGCCGUAGCUAACGCAUUAAGUACCCCGCCUGGGGAGUACGGCCGCAAGGCUAAAACUCAAAGGAAUUGACGGGGGCCCGCACAAGCGGCGGAGCAUGUGGAUUAAUUCGAUGCAACGCGAAGAACCUUACCUGGGUUUGACAUGCACAGGACGCCGGCAGAGAUGUCGGUUCCCUUGUGGCCUGUGUGCAGGUGGUGCAUGGCUGUCGUCAGCUCGUGUCGUGAGAUGUUGGGUUAAGUCCCGCAACGAGCGCAACCCUUGUCUCAUGUUGCCAGCACGUUAUGGUGGGGACUCGUGAGAGACUGCCGGGGUCAACUCGGAGGAAGGUGGGGAUGACGUCAAGUCAUCAUGCCCCUUAUGUCCAGGGCUUCACACAUGCUACAAUGGCCGGUACAAAGGGCUGCGAUGCCGUGAGGUGGAGCGAAUCCUUUCAAAGCCGGUCUCAGUUCGGAUCGGGGUCUGCAACUCGACCCCGUGAAGUCGGAGUCGCUAGUAAUCGCAGAUCAGCAACGCUGCGGUGAAUACGUUCCCGGGCCU